UCCACCUUACACGGUGUGCGAUCCAUUAGGUUCCUUUUAGCGAGGCAGUGGGCGAUUAAAACCAUUUUAUAUCGAUUGUGAAUUGAAACUUACUUUCAAUUCUCCCUUUAGUGAUUACACACGUUUAGGGCUUCCACAAACCAUGAGUGACACCUUGCAGCAUAUCAUGGUUACCCAAGCUAAUUAGAAGAGGUAGAGAAAACCUAUUCAGU
rnacentral:lncRNA from 1 species